GUGUGGUGGACUUGACCAAUGCAUUCCUCUCAAUCCACAUAGCUCCAGAGAGCCAGGAAGAGUUUGCCUUCAUGGGAGGGCGACAGUGGACUUUCAUUGCGUUGCUGCAGGGCUAUAUGCAUAGCCCCAUUAUAUGUUUUCUUAUUAAUGAUGAUGUUGUGUUAACCUCUGGUUCUUUUGCAGGUGUGGAAGCAGCAACACCCCUCUUGCCAGGGAUUUGGAUGAUGAGGGUGAAACAGCCUUUCUGAAGGCAUAAGCCCUGUGGGUAGUUAACUAGGGGUGCCCAUUUAAAGCCCAUGCUGCCGGGUUGGGAGAAGCUGGCUGCAGAGUCCUUAGCCCUGACACAUGGAGCACAAAAGCCCCAGGGCAGGACACAUAGGAAGGAGGUUCGGAACAGGGAUCUUAUCAUCAACAUCCUGACGAUUUCCACUGCAUGAUGCAAAGCCCUGUAACAUUUUUACUU